GGGGCUGUCCGCGUUCCGGUGGAUCCCGAGUCCCCGGCCUGCGUCACGGUGUGUCACUGUUAGAGGUACAGCACAUGUCUGGAGGUGAUGAGGAGGUUUUUGUUAUUGUAUGCUACACAGAAAGGACAAGCAAAGGCCAUAGCAGAAGAAAUAUGUGAACAAGCUGUGACUCAUGGGUUUUCUGCCGAUCUUCACUGUAUCAGUGAGUCAGAUAAGGUAAGAGCU